AGCGAACGCUGGCGGCAGGCCUAACACAUGCAAGUCGAACGAACCUUUCGGGGUUAGUGGCGGACGGGUGAGUAACACGUGGGAACGUGCCUUUAGGUUCGGAAUAACUCAGGGAAACUUGUGCUAAUACCGAAUGUGUCCUUCGGGGGAAAGAUUUAUCGCCUUUAGAGCGGCCCGCGUCUGAUUAGCUAGUUGGUUGAGGUAAUGGCUUACCAAGGCGACGAUCAGUAGCUGGUCUGAGAGGAUGAUCAGCCACAUUGGGACUGAGACACGGCCCAAACUCCUACGGGAGGCAGCAGUGGGGAAUCUUGCGCAAUGGGCGAAAGCCUGACGCAGCCAUGCCGCGUGAAUGAUGAAGGUCUUAGGAUUGUAAAAUUCUUUCACCGGGGACGAUAAUGACGGUACCCGGAGAAGAAGCCCCGGCUAACUUCGUG
rnacentral:rRNA from 1 species